rnacentral:rRNA from 1 species
CCAAUAGCGUAUAUUAAAGUUGUUGCAGUUAAAAAGCUCGUAGUUGAAUUUCGGGAUCAAGGAAUCGGUCAUGCCUCGGUAUGUACUGGUUUUAUUGGUUCUCACCUUCUAAAGAACCAUGAUGUCAUUCAUUUGAUGUUAUGGGGAAUUAGGACUGUUACCUUGAAAAAAUUAGAGUGUUUAAAGCAGGCUUACGCUUGAAUACAUUAGCAUGGAAUAAUGAAAUAGGACAUCAGAUUCUAUUUUGUUGGUUUCUAGGAUCGAUGUAAUGAUUAAUAGGGAUAGUUGGGGGCAUUAGUAUUCAAUUGUCAGAGGUGAAAUUCUUGGAUUUAUUGAAGACUAACUACUGCGAAAGCAUUUGCCAAGGAUGUUUUCAUUAAUCAAGAACGAAAGUUAGGGGAUCGAAGACGAUCAGAUACCGUCGUAGUCUUAACCAUAAACUGUGCCGACUAGGGAUCGGAUGAUGUUUAUUUUUUAGUGACUCAUUCGGCACCUUACG